UAAUCUGAAUCAUGUUUCAACAUAAUUUAGACACUAUUUUAAUUAUACCUAGCCGCCCUCAGCGUGGAAAAGGGAACAGUUGUGGCUGGCCUCUUCCGUCUCCGCUUUCACUCAUCCUCACUAGAGCUGGUUCUUUCCUGCCGUCUCGGAGAGGAGAGGAGAGGAGAGUGGUUUGAGUGAGGCAGACGGAGGGAUGGAUGGGCGGCGGCAGUUGAGAUUGCCGCCGGCCGAUGAGGUUGAGACGGCGCGGGCAGGAAUAAAUUCGCGUGCCACCGUGCCAGUAGGGGGUCCCUGUUUUGUGUUGUUGGGUUGGCGUUGGCAAGGUCUCGCGGUUGUGUGUUGUCUCGCCGUCGUCAAGGGCCCGGCAAGGGCGGGGCCGGCCGCGGUACCUGAAGCAGAAGCACCUCUUCGAGGAGCACCCGGAGGAGCGCCGGCACCACCCGCGGUAGCAGCACAGGUUCUAGGCCCCGGCGUUCGACGCCGACGGCGGCCCGGGGAAGGGCCACGGGUAGAAGCCGUUGACCGACGUCCAGCCGCUGCUGGACUUGGUGGCGUUGGACCGCCGCUACCGCGCGUUCAAGCCGCUCCAGAAGGAGGAGGCGUACCCGGUCGCGUUGGACCACCACCAGAGGAGGGGCGGCGACCGGGCGCUCCACGAGGUGUGCGUCCCGCACCUCAAGCCCAGGGCGUGGGCGUUGCACCACAAGCUGUAGAAGUGGCCGCUCCCGGUCCUGUACCACAAGUGGCACAUGCCGCUGGUGACCGCGUUCUACGCCGCGUAGUACUGGCACGGGAAGAAGUGGUUGUUCCACCACGUCGUCAUGGCCGGGCCCACCCUCCGGCUCCGCCGGAAGCACCACCUGUUGCAGGCGCGGCUGGGGUCCCGGCGGUGGCUACCGCAGCACGAGGCGGCGGUGGACGUCGAGUACUACAUGUUGUUGUACAUGGCGUAGUACAAGCUGGCCGCCAAGCUCUCGUACCUGCUGGGCGACAAGGAGGCGGAGGCCCGCGAGUUGCCGCUCGCGUCGGCGGAGCGCGUCUCGAAGCUCAUGUUGAUGCCGCUGAAGUAGGGGCAGGAGGCGGGGAAGGAGGCGCCGAUGGAGGCCGAGACGUUCCUCCAGUUCCUCUGGGCGGAGUUCGAGAAGUUCCUAAUGAAGGACCUGCUCUCCUUCUUCGACCACUCGUGGUUCCGGCACCUUCUGUUGCCACCCGAGUUCACGCGGUAACUAGUGUAGGACCUCCGCCUCGUCUUCCCCCUCUAGUUGCUCCUGUUGCAGGAGAUGUAGUAGCUCUUGUAGUUGCAGCGUCGCUAGCUCUGCUGCGACACCAGCUAGCUCACCCCCGACCGCCUCGACCACUUGGUGGGCCUCUAGGUCGUCUUCGACGCCCUGCUCUACCUGCGCCACGACCCGCAGCCCGUGGUCUAGUGCCUCGGGCUGUGCGUGUUCGAGGGGAUGGACGUCCGCCACUAGUUCCUCUGCGACGCCGACGCGUACCGGUAGGGCGACGACCACGGGGUGUACUUGGAGGUGCUGCGGUUCGAGCGGCCGAUGUUGUAGGGGCGGCUCUCGUUCUAGGAGCAGUUGCGGACCAAGGAGCGGUUGUUGGGGCUCGUCACCUUCGCCGGGCUGCUCAAGGCCGGCCUCGCGAAGGACCUCCUCCUCUUCGUGCACCUCCGGUUGCCGUUGCUGAAGUCCAUGGACGGGAAGCCGCAGCCGGCGGCCUCGACGGGGCCGUAGUAGGAGCGCGACGGGUAGGAGCCGUAGUGGUAGCCGGCGGAGCAGGUCUUGAAGCACGAGUGCGGCGGCGGGCCGGUCCUGUUCGAACUGUGCUGACUCUUCCCACCGGUCAAGUCGGAGGUGUAGGAGUUCGUGAGGUGGUAGCAGCGGUUCGGGUCUCACAAGAUUCGUCAGGGCAUGGCCUGCAUGCACGAGACCUCAAACCUGAAGGUCGUAAAACCAAGCCACAACAUGAAAGUACUAACAAGCGAGCAGGAUUCAUAUGAACUAAUAUCAUAGACAGUGUCUCAUCUGCGUGCAAAGCAAUUACAAUAGGCGUUCCUUGUCUCCUCGACUUCUUUACAGCUUGCCCCUCCUUUUCUGACCUGCUAAAGGUAGUCUACAUGAGGACUACGACGGUAUUUAAUUUAGGAGUUUUAUAACUACUAAAAAAGUGUUUGCUUUACUAGGAGGUAAACAAAGAACAUUUAAACACCUGAGUAAAACAUUGCUGGUG
rnacentral:rRNA from 1 species